rnacentral:rRNA from 1 species
AUUGAACGCUGGCGGCAGGCCUAACACAUGCAAGUCGAACGGAGCGGCGGACGGGUGGGUAAUGCCUAGGAAUCUGCCUGGUAGUGGGGGAUAACGUCCGGAAACGGGCGCUAAUACCACAUACUAUCAGAUGAGCCUAGGUAGGAUUAGCUAGUUGGUGGGGUAAAGGCCUACCAAGGCGACGAUCCGUAACUGGUCUGAGAGGAUGAUCAGUCACCGUGGAACUGAGACACUGUCCCGGCUCACUCGUGAUGCAGCAGUGGGGAAUAUUGGACAAUGGGCGCAGGCCUGAUCCAGCCAUGCCGCGUGUGUGUAGAAGGUCUUCGGAUUUUAAAGCACUUUAAGUUGGUAGGCGUUACCAACAGAAUAAGCACCGGCUAACUUCGGGCCAGCCGCCGCGGUAAUUC